AUUGAACGCUGGCGGCAGGCCUAACACAUGCAAGUCGAACGAGUGGCGGACGGGUGAGUAAUGUCUGGGAAACUGCCCGAUGGAGGGGGAUAACUACUGGAAACGGUAGCUAAUACCGCAUACCAUCGGAUGUGCCCAGAUGGGAUUAGCUAGUAGGUGGGGUAAAGGCUCACCUAGGCGACGAUCCCUAGCUGGUCUGAGAGGAUGACCGGCCACACUGGAACUGAGACACGGUCCAGACUCCUACGGGAGGCAGCAGUGGGGAAUAUUGCACAAUGGGCUAAAGCCUGAUGCAGCCAUGCCGCUUGUAUGAAGAAGGCCUUCGGGUUGUAAAGUACUUUCAGCAGGGAAGCGUUACUCGCAGAGUAAGCAGCGGCUAACUCCGUGCCAGCAGCCGCGGUAAUUC
rnacentral:rRNA from 1 species